UNAAAGAGAUAGGAGUUGAACC
rnacentral:tRNA from 1 species